GCGGAAUGAGUGGAGCACGCACGGAGGAGGGAGCAAUGGUUAAUAAGCCCACGGUGAAUGGACCACAUGCUUCUCUUCUCCUUUGG
rnacentral:lncRNA from 1 species